rnacentral:rRNA from 1 species
CACGUAGGGGGCAAGCGUUGUCCGGAUUUAUUGGGCGUAAAGAGCUCGUAGGCGGCUUAGUAAGUCGGGUGUGAAACCUCCAGGCUCAACCUGGAGACGCCACCCGAUACUGCUAUAGCUAGAGUCCGGUAGGGGAGCGUGGAAUUCCUGGUGUAGCGGUGAAAUGCGCAGAUAUCAGGAGGAACACCAGCGGCGAAGGCGGCGCUCUGGGCCGGAACUGACGCUGAGGAGCGAAAGCGUGGGGAGCAAACAGG